GACGAACGCUGGCGGCGUGCUUAACACAUGCAAGUCGAACGGAAAGGCCCUGCUUUUGUGGUGUGCUCGAUUGGCGAACAGGUGAGUAACACGUGAGUAACCUCCCCUUUACUUUGGGAUAACUUCAGGAAACUGGGGCUAAUACCCGAUAGGAGCUCCUGCUGCAUGGUGGUGGUUGGAAAGUUUCGGCGGUUGGGGAUGGACUCGCGGCUUAUCAGCUUGUUGGUGGGGUAGUGGCUUACCAAGGCUUUGACGGGUAGCCGGCCUGAGAAGGUGAACGGCGACAUUGGGACUGAGAUACGGACCAGACGCCUAUGUGAGGCAGCAGUGGGGAAUAUUGCAGAAUGGGCGGAAGCGUGAUGAAGCAACGCCGCGUGCGGGAUGACGGCUUGCGGGUUGUAAACCGCUUUCGGCUGUGAUGAAGCGUGAGUGACGGUAAUGGGUAAAGAAGCAACGGCUAACUACGUG
rnacentral:rRNA from 1 species